rnacentral:tRNA from 1 species
GGGGUAUUAGCUCAGGUGGUAGAGCGCUCGCUUAGCAUGCGAGAGGUACCGGGAUCGAUGCCCGGAUUCUCCA